ACAUUCCCUGGCCGCGCGCUGGGAGCCAGGCGGCCUCCCCCGGGCCGGGCCUGGCCAGGGCUGAGUCCGAGCGGCGACGCAGAGGGGCCGCCGUGACUCACCCGCGCCCUCCCCGCCCGCUUCUCUCAAGCGGGACCCAGCCCAGAGUCCUGAGUCCUCCCCUCACCCGCACCCAAACCCAGACCCCUGGGGCGGCUCACCUUGCUCCUCUCUCCCGCCGCAGUCACAGGACCCAAGCCGGAGAGGGCGGUGGAAGAAGGAGCUAUGCCAGUCCUCCUUGUCCCGCUGGAGUAUUUUGUACCUCAGCCCCCAAUUAUCAUUCCUCUCCUCCCUCCAAUACCACGGAGGUGGGUGUCGCAGGGGCAAGGACUCAGAUCUAAUCCUCGCUUCUCCCAAACCAGCUGUGUGACCUUGAGAAUACUACUAACCUCUCUGGGCCUGUUUCUGCAUCUGCCAGAUGGUCAUAACCCUCCUCAGAUGCUGUGCGUUGGCCGAAUGCGGCAGGCCCAGGGCGCGGCCCCGCAGACUGCAGCCAGGGCACAAGUAUUGUUACACGAGGCUGCGCACAGUAGGUGCUGGGGCGGCCAGCCUGGACACACGUUAGAACUGGCUGGGGAGGGUCUGUAGGGGAGGCCGGACUCAGGGCUCACCCUGGAGAGGAGGACAAAGGGUGCUGAAUCUGGACUGAAUCCGACCUCUAGCCCUGGGCUGGGCCGUGGGAGUGCUGGCCAACGUGCCAGGCAGGGAGGACCUGAAUUCCUGAAGGUGGUGGUGGCAGCUGUUAGGGUCCACAGGUUAAUGAUCUCCAACGUCACACAGAAGAGAAUGUGCUGAGGUGUGACCUCCCUCACCCUGCCUUGGCUGCGUGGGGCACCGUCUCUCCAGGACUCACCCUGCCCCCCAAUAGACUGAAGUCUGAAGAUCAGCCCAGUCUUCCUUCAGGCCUCAAUGCCCUCUCACUUCCCCAGCCCGAGGGACUCCUGGCUCUUCUCGGAGGCUGCUCUGUGGGGUCCCUCCCUUGGGCCUUUGCUAAUGCUGUGCCCUCUGCCUGUGCCAGAGGUGGGCCUGGGCCCGUUUCUCAGGGAGCUCCUGAACACCAAGAAAUUGAAUUGCUUUGUAAAUAAACAAAAAGUGCCAAACA
rnacentral:lncRNA from 1 species